rnacentral:rRNA from 1 species
UACGUAGGCAGCAAGCGUUGUUCGGAGUUACUGGGCGUAAAGGGUGUGUAGGCGGUUGUUUACGUUUGGUGUGAAAUCUCCCGGCUCAACUGGGAGGGUGCGCCGAAUACUGAAUGACUAGAGUGCGGGAGAGGAAAGUGGAAUUCCUGGUGUAGCGGUGAAAUGCGUAGAUAUCAGGAGGAACACCGGUGGUGAAGACGGCUUUCUGGACCGUAACUGACGCUGAGACACGAAAGCGUGGGUAGCAAACAGG